rnacentral:pre_miRNA from 1 species
UUUGUACUCCCUCCGUCCCAAAAUUCUUGUCUUAAAUUUGUCUAAAUACGGAUGUGUCUAGUUACAUUUUAGUGUUAGAUACAUCCGUAUCUAAACAAAUGUAAGACAAGAAUUUUGGGACGAAGGGAAUACUAC